CUUUGAACGCAAGUUA
rnacentral:misc_RNA from 1 species